ACUUAUGAUCUCUGUCAAAUAAAUAAAUGAAAUCUUAAAGAAAAAAAAAAAAGAAAAGCCCAGAACUAUAUGAAGAAAACCACAAAUCUUACUGUAUGACAUAAAACAAGAUUUAAAAAAUGGAAGAAAAUGUUUUAAAUAAGAAGACACUAUAAUAAAAAUGUUAGUUUCCCCUAAAUAAAUAUAAUUUGGUGAAAUUUAGAUCAGAACACCAACAGGGCAUUUAAAAAAAUAUCUCUUUGGGAUGGGGUGAAAUUAUUUUAAAGUUUAAGAAUAAGAAUAGGUACCUAAUAAUAGUCAAGAGAAGUUUGAAAACAUAAACUAGCAAAGGAGGGACUUUCUUAUCAGUUAUUAGAAUAAACUGCAAAGCGAUUCAAGUCAAAACAAUAUGACAUGGCAUAGGAAUAGAGAAAUAAACACAUAGGUCAAAGGGAGUGCAGAAAUUGAUCUUAGCAUAUAAAAGAAUUUAAAAUGCAAGAAACUGGGAUUUCUAUGCUGGGAGAAGUUAGAAUUAUUUAAUAAAUACAGAAUCUAUAAAAUAUCUGGAAGUAAUAUUUGGGUCCUGUAUUAUACCAUACACAAAUAUAAUUUUAAGAUUGUUUAAUAAUAUAAAUGAAGAAAAGAAACCAUCAUGAAAAAUCUGCAAGAAAAUAAUCUCCAAUCUAGGGAUGGAAAAUAUCUCAAGUAGGACUGGAAAUCCAAAAACUAUAUUGUGUAUGUGUGUGUGUAUGUGUAUUUUUUCCUCAAAUAGCAAUGAUCCUAAUGAAAGACGGAUGAACUCACAAGCAGUCAGGAAAUGCAAAUUACAGUAACACUGAAAUAACACUUAGUAUCUAUCAUACUGCAAAAAAAAAAAAAAAAAAAA